rnacentral:rRNA from 1 species
GACGUUAGACUGCAGAAGAAGCACCGGCUAACUCCGUGCCAGCAGCCGCGGUAAUACGGAGGGUGCGAGCGUUAAUCGGAAUUACUGGGCGUAAAGCGCAUGCAGGUGGUUUGUUAAGUCAGAUGUGAAAGCCCCGGGGCUCAACCUCGGAAUUGCAUUUGAAACUGGCAACUAGAGUACUGUAGAGGGGGUAGAAUUUCAGGUGUAGCGGUGAAAUGCGUAGAGAUCUGAAGGAAUACCGGUGGCGAAGGCGGCCCCCUCGGACAGAUACUGACACUCAGAUGCGAAAGCGUGGGGAGCAAACAGGAUUAGAUACCCUGGUAG